AUGCUGAUGGCGACCGGCGAUGGGGCCGAUGGACUAGGGCUCGACGACGACUCCUUGCCAUUGCAGGACAACUUCGACGACGUGCUGCAAUUGCUUGACGACUUCCCCGACCCUGACACCGCCCCAAUUCCCCUGCCCGCACAGAUGCACCACGCGGACCAGCCUGCGUGCAGCCACAGUUUCUCCGGCGACGGUCUUCGCAACAACUCCACCGGCGACGGCACUCCAGGUGUCGCUCAGCCUAACGAAUUUCCAGUCCACAGUGACCCAUCGACGUCCUCCACUGCAGCGGGUGUGUUGGAUUGCAGCGGCUGCCAUGUGCUACGAGAAGUGAUGCAUUCCAACGGGCCGGAGUUGACAAAGCUCUCAAUCCAUGGCGCGCCCGGCUUCUUCAACCAUGCAACGCUAGAUCGUUGUACCAACUCCGAGGGUUUGGCUCCGAGAAUAGCGCCUCGAUCGCACAUUGAUUUCAGAGACCGGGACUACGAGUGGGUGGGGCACUUCCUGACGGACUACGCGCUGCGGCAAGCCGCCGGCAACUACGCCGUCGUGCGUGACUCGCUCUCAUUGUUCCUCGACGUCCUCUGCACGACCAUGAACCGAUGCGUGCAGGGCAACGAUGGCGACCACGACGAUGAAGGAACAGCGGCGAGAAAUGGUGGCCAUGGGCAACCCACCGUCGACGUCUUUGCUGCCGCCGUCCAGCCUGCGAUGCAGAGAAACACAGAGCCAGAACCUGCAGGGCCAUCUCCAUCUCCACCGAGUAAUACCAUGGAGUUGCAUGUUCAGCCACAACCCUUCCAGCCGGUAGUCGCAGGCAGGAGCGUACUUGCCUUACAGAGGGAGAGAACCAGGAAGAUGCAGUUCCAUGACAUCGCACCCUACUUUCACCUCCCCAUCGUCGAGGCAGCCGAAAAGCUCGAUAUCUGUACCACCGUUCUGAAAGGAAUCUGCCGCAGGGUCGGGGUACAAAGAUGGCCGCAUCGAAAGGUGAAAAAAAUAGAUAGACAAAUAACAAAACUCAUGAGAUCGGGUAAUGGAGUUUGGGAAAGGAACGAGAUUGAGCGGUUGAAUGCUGAGAGGAAAAGAAUUUUCUAUGCCCUUGAAUAA
rnacentral:rRNA from 1 species